AUUGAACGCUGGCGGCAUGCCUUACACAUGCAAGUCGAACGGUAACGGGCCUUCGGGUGCCGACGAGUGGCGUACGGGUGAGUAAUACAUCGGAACGUGCCCGAUCGCGGGGGAUAACGAGGCGAAAGCUUUGCUAAUACCUCAUACGAUCUACGGAAGCAAGCAGGGGACCGCACGGCCUUGCGCGGCCGGAGCGGCCGAUGGCAGACUAGGUAGUUGGUGGGAUAAAAGCUUACCAAGCCGACGAUCUGUAGCUGGUCUGAGAGGAUGAUCAGCCACACUGGGAGUGAGACACGGCCCAGACUCCGACGGGAGGCAGCAGUGGGGAAUCUUGGACAAUGGGCGCAAGCCUGAUACAGCCAUGCCGCGUGCAGGAUGAAGGCCUUCGGGUUGUAAACUGCUGUUGUACGGAACGAAAAGCAUUCUUUUAAUACAGGAGGGUCAUGACGGUACCGGAAGAAUAAGCACCGGCUAACUACGUG
rnacentral:rRNA from 1 species